CCAUCCAAUACAUGAAUCGAAUUAGCCUAACAUAUUAUUGGAAUCAAACAAAUAAAAGUGGAAAGACAUCACUAAAAUUUGAUGAAACGUAAUUAAUUCCAAAAUUAUUCUCGAAUUUUGCUUCAAUUCCAGCUGGAAUAUGUAAAAUACCUCAAUUCAAUUGCUCAUUUGUCCCCUUCGUCUGCCGGCCAAUUAUGGCUGUUGUGUAUAUAUGUAAAAAUAAGCCAAAGCCAUGCAGUUGUAUGUGUAAUUUCAACCAAUUGGCAGCCCUAUUUUUCUCGUCUCCCAGCAAUCUUUUCCUCUAGUUUUUUUUCUGUCGUCUUCCUCAGUUGGCAAUUAAUAAUCUCCAAAAAGAUAUCCCAAUUCAACCCAAUAUUACUUCCCAACAUAUUAUUGGAAUCAAACAAAUAAAAGUGGAAAGACAUCACCGAAAUUUGACGAAACGUAAUUAAUUCCAAAAUUAUUCUCGAAUUCUGC
rnacentral:lncRNA from 1 species